UUUCUGCAGACAACCACAAGGUUUGCAACAAUGGCAACAGAUUUUUCCUUCAAACUUUGGCCUUCCUGAAACGUCAAGUAUUUAAAAAGUACCUAUAUUUGGCAGCAGACGGGAUGUACAUAAUAAGCACGAAGCACGAAAUGCCAAACAGGCUUCCAAAGGCAGAAGAUGACUGAACCCUUCAACCAGGAAGACAUCCAUACUUUAGAAGAAGAAUUCAUUGAGCAAACUCAAUCAUUGUUUCCCUUCAGCCCACCAAUAUAGCUUUCCUGCUCUCCAUCCUCAAUGUUUCCAGUAAGCAUUUCUCUACUAUUGUUAUUGUGGACAAGAUCCAGGAAAAAAUCUGUCAAAACAGACUCAUAAUUUGGCAUCUUGGCAUAGCCCGGAAAAUAGUUUAUAUCAAUGACAAGAUACCUAUUGCCAUCUUUAGCAUCCCUCAUCACAUCAAAGUUGAACAAAUUAAGCCUGGUUUCCUGCCUCAUCGCCCUGGCUAUCUCCUCCAAAAAUCCCAAUGGCGGCAUUUCCACUUUCUCGAGAUCGACUGCAUCACCAAAGCACUCAUUCUUCACCGCCACAGUCAAAUUCGAUAUUUGAGAAAAUGAUAAAGAACCCUUCAAUGUAGCUAAUUUCUCCUGCGAUAUAUCAGGAAGCGACUUCCUCUUUACACAUUGCACGUAGUCACCAGCAACAUAAACUUUGAAAAUCACCCCACCAUGAUUUACAAAGUCCUGCAAGAUAAUAGGCGUAUCUAGCCUCUUCAACCCUUCACUGUCAAAAAUUUGAUACAUUUUGUGCGAUUUUGCACUCCCAUCAGCCACCAAAGGUUUCGCUAGUAAAGGAAACCCUAGCUCCCCAACUACAAUAUUUCCCUUCAAAUUCCCCGAGUCCAAAACGACUACCUGUUUAGGUACCUCCAAGACUUGGCUUCUCUUGGAAAUCUUUAACCGACCGACUACUUCGAGCAUAGAAAUCCGGUUGUGCAGCCUCUCGAUGGAAACAGGAGAAUCAACAAUGGGAACAUUAGGGUUUUCCAAAGAGAAACGCUCCAGUUGCAGCUUCCAAUCUGAACCAUACAGCUUGUGGAUGACACAGUCGAAUGGCCCUUGUUCAAUUAGGGAUUUCGAAGGAUCGAUAGCGACCAGAUCGAUGCUAUGGCGACUCGCGAGGCUAAUGAGGGAUGGCUGGAUAAAGCUCUGCACUUUCUUGGGCGCCAGUGCGUAGCCUAUGCGGUGCUGUUUCGCCUGGGUUGACAUGGCUGCUGCUUGGAAGGCAAGAAACCGGAGAGAAACCGUUCCUCUGAGAGAAAAGAGAAAGAAAAACUGAAAGAGAACAAUUUGAGACUCUCAGAGAAGGAAUAGAAAAUUUAUAGAACAGUGAGAGAGUGAAGAGAGGUUUUACAGUUACGAAUACAAUAGAAAGAGACACACAGGAGGUUGGAUUUUUCGUUUCUGUAGGUGAAGAGUGAG
rnacentral:misc_RNA from 1 species